rnacentral:rRNA from 1 species
CCUACGGGAGGCAUCAGUGAGGAAUAUUGGUCAAUGGACGAGAGUCUGAACCAGCCAAGUAGCGUGAAGGAUGACUGCCCUAUGGGUUGUAAACUUCUUUUAUAUGUGAAUGAAACGUUCCACGUGUGGGAUUUUGUAUGUACCAUAUGAAUAAGGAUCGGCUAACUCCGUGCCAGCAGCCGCGGUAAUACGGAGGAUCCGAGCGUUAUCCGGAUUUAUUGGGUUUAAAGGGAGCGUAGGUGGAUUGUUAAGUCAGUUGUGAAAGUUUGCGGCUCAACCGUAAAAUUGCAGUUGAAACUGGCAGUCUUGAGUACAGUAGAGGUGGGCGGAAGUCGUGGUGUAGCGGUGAAAUGCUUAGAUAUCACGAAGAACUCCGAUUGCGAAGGCAGUUCACUGGACUGCAACUGACACUGAGGCUCGAAAGUGUGGGUAUCAAACAGGAUUAGAUACCCCGGUAGUC